UACGUAGGGUGCAAGCGUUGUCCGGAAUUACUGGGCGUAAAGAGUUCGUAGGCGGUUUGUCGCGUCGUUUUGUGAAAACUCACAGCUCAACUGUGAGCCUGCAGGCGAUACGGGGCAGACUUGAGUACUGCAGGGGAGACUGGAAUUCCUGGUGAUAGCGGGUGAAAUGACGCAGAGUAUCAGGAGGGAACACCGGUGGCGAAGGCGGGUCUCUGGGCAGUAAACUGACGCUGGAGGAAACGGAAAGCGUGGGUAGCAAACAGG
rnacentral:rRNA from 1 species